GUAGGUUGGUGGUUGUUAGCACUCUUGCCUCUCAGCAAGAAGGUUCUGGGUUCGAUUCCCUAGAGCCUACG